rnacentral:lncRNA from 1 species
UGUGAAAUACUUCGUACUGAAAAGUGGGGGACAAGUGUUGGGCCAAGUUUGGCCUGCUUGAUGAUGUGUCCAAUCUAUGGAGACAUGGCAGACACCUGGCAUCAUGACGUGGGCAACCAAGCAGUUGUGCACUACGCAGCAAUGGCAUCAUCGGCAAAUGACCAAAGUCUACAUCAUCGACAUAUGAUCGACCACAAGGUGGGGGCAUAGAUGAAGUCAGCAUCAUCGGCUUUUAGCUGACCUCACCUAAUUUUCGCCCCUAGCUCCCUAUAAGCCAUCCUCC